GCAGGUCAGUCACGCAUGUCAUCUGCCUCCGAUCAGGCACAUGAAAAAACAACGAUACACAUUAGGGAAGUAUUUCUUUGUGCUAGGAUCGCACUGCAGACCUUUUGAUUUGUAUCCAGGCUUUUGUAUCAGUAUCAACAGCGUGGAGUCUUGCAUGACAGACAACGGCGGAUUUGGACCGGUCCAUACAUCGGUAUUAGCGGCAAGGAUUUGCAACUGAUUUUCACUCCAACUGCAUCAGUUCCUGGAUUGCACGUGUGGUUAUGUUUCCUGCUGUUGGAGGAGUCGCGGGUGUACUGAUGUCUCUGUGAAGUGUGUUUAUUGGUUUGGUAACGUGGCGCUCAGGAAUAUUCGAAUGAUUGCGCAGCCAUUGUAGCAACGACCCAUGUCGUUGGGCACGACGACGCACUAUCAACCGCGUUACCGAGCCCGAAAGCGCCGUCGCUGUCCUACAACAACGAGCGUCAGAAACAGGUGCAUCUGAGAAGAUUUUGGACUGGUGUUGAUGUGCUGGGCGAGGAGGCUGUAUGAAAUGUUCUGUCAAGAUGUCAUUUGGAAGUGUUUUUCUAGAAGAGGUCGAAAACUGGAAUACAUGGCCUUAUUUGGUAUUGCGGCAACCGUGCUGUUCGUACUAAGGCAGAAAUCUGACUUAUUCCGGUAUUCUUCAAAGGAGUUCGGAAUUUUCAAUCCAAACCUGACUAAACAUUUCAUUAUAUGUAUGGAAUCUGGUCGCCUUGGAAACGCGAUGUUUACUUAUGCAUCAAUUUACGGAAUUGCUUCCAAAAAGAAUAUGAGUGUUGUCAUCGAUGAAGGAAAUCCGCUGGUGAAACAUUUCAAACUGGACGCUAAAAGCAUGAAGAUACAGUCACUAAGUGGUUAUUUGAAAUUGGUCGAAAAAAGUUCUUGUGACUUCGACCAAGCAUUGAUGAAUUUCGACCCAAACAGAAAUGUCAUGAUAGAGCGUUACUUGCAGUCCUGGCGCUACUUCUCUCACGUUGAGGACCAAAUCCGGAGUCAGUUUGAUUUCACAGAUUCUACAAAAGCAUCGGCUGAUGGUAUUCUUAACAAGAUUCGUAAGGAAAGGUCUUUGUCCGCCAACGCGAGCGCCACCUUAGUGGGCAUUCAUUACCGAAGAGGGGACUUUGUGGAGAAACAUUUCAAAGAUUUUGGAUAUGCGCUUGCUCCUGUGGAAUAUAUUCACCGUGCAAUGAAGUACUUACCGCUUGAAGUAUAGUAACGUGACGUUCGUCCUCGCCUCCACAUCCGCUGAGUUUAUAAAGGAUGUUUUAAAGGAGAACGAUGUCAUACAUGUGGCUGGGGGAAGUGCGAUAGUAGAUAUGGCCAUUAUGGCUAGAUGUGAUCAUUUGAUUCAAACUGUUGGGACGUAUGGCUGGUGGUCUGGAUUUCUUAACAGGGGCAGUGUUGUGUAUUACAAAUACCCAGCCAGGGAAGGAUCGGAGCUCCGAAAACUGUUUGGAGACUAUUCCAAUUUUUUCUACCCGAAAUGGAUCGGAAUGGACUGAUUAUUGGAACUGGUUUCAUCAGGUCUAUGAACUAACCUGAAGGGACUCUUGGAGUACUAGAUACUUUCCAAAGGGUGUGGGGGCGUCGGGGUAGCCUAAUAGUUAAAGCGUCCGCUCGUCACGCUGAAGACCCGGGUUCGAGUCCCGACAUGGGUACAACGUUUGAAGCCCAUUUCUGGUGUCCCCCGCCGUAAUAUUGCUGGAAUAUUACUAAAAGCGGCGUAAAACCAUACUCACUCACUCACUCCAAAGGGUGUGACAAAAUGGAUCGGAUGGCCAACCACAUCCAUACCCUCACAGCAACUGCAUUCGCCCUACACACACGCAAGCCCCUCUCAGAACCACAAAACCAUCACUCAUCAACCGGAGCACCCACAUUCUCUCAUCCGACUCCUGUUGGGGUCAGCGCGAUAGAUCGCAUUACCUUCUGAAAAGAAACGAAUUGUGGAUUGGGUGUUAUUUUGCCUGUUCAGUGUUAUGAUACCGAGACGUCGAUGACCCACGAAUCUCGUGAUAUACCUUGAAUACUGCUAUUGACGGUGUAAUAUAGAACAUCAUUGCAAAAGAACAAGUCUUAACCUUAUAACACAAGUGAACGCAAUAACACGUAUUCGUUCAAGUGCACAAUUUCAGUCUCUUUAUAGGAUUGGUAUAUUCCAAAAAUGUGCACAUUGCCUCGUUUUGAAAAAUGAAAUGACGUCACUACCUCCA